AUGUAGAUCCAGUUAUAUGAUUUUAAGAUUUGAUAUCAUGCAUGCUUAGAUUAAAAUAGUUUUAAUUUAAAUUUUUAAAUUUUUGCUGUGCAUAUGUUUUGAAUUUUGCAUGCAUGAAAUCAUGAAAUCCCAAUAAUGAUUUCAAGGGGAGGUUUGGAUCUUCAAUGCCAAAGUGGUAUCUUGAAGUGCUGCCAACUUUUUCUAUGGUCCACUCGUAUAGGAGAGAGCGUACUAGUCUCACCAUGCUUUCGCUCUUCAGUGGCAUCAACAUCAUGUUGCUCAAAAGCCUCCUCUAUGCAUUCAUAUUUCUUUGCUCGAGGCAAUAUUUUAGUGGAGACUCGAGUGU
rnacentral:lncRNA from 1 species